UUACGCUUCGGCGGUACAUACACCAAUAUUGGAACGAUGCAGAGAAGAGAAUCAUGGCCCCUGCGCAAGGAUGACACACAAAACCGUGAAGCAUUCCAUCUCUUC
rnacentral:snRNA from 1 species